AUUAAUCCAUGAAAUUCUCA
rnacentral:siRNA from 1 species